rnacentral:lncRNA from 1 species
AGUUGUAGAGGUUAGUAAGGUUAUAUCUUUUAUGAAUACCCAACGACUAUUGAAGAAAGUUGUACGAGUCUCUUAGCUAUGAAAAAUGAUGUUAGAGAGGGAGCACUUAGUUUUUAAGAGCUACUUGUUACGAAGGAAUUUUUUGAUGUAUUUCUUGAAGAGUUUCUACGAUUAUGUCUAGUAUGAGAGUCAGAGUUUGGUAUUGAUUUAGCACCUAACACUAUACC